rnacentral:rRNA from 1 species
GCAAGUCGAGCGCACUCUUCGGAGUGAGCGGCGGACGGGUUAGUAACGCGUGGGAACGUGCCCUUCUCUAAGGAAUAGCCACUGGAAACGGUGAGUAAUACCUUAUACGCCCUUUGGGGGAAAGAUUUAUCGGAGAAGGAUUAGCCCGCGUUAGAUUAGGUAGUUGGUGGGGUAAUGGCCUACCAAGUCUACGAUCAGUAGCUGGUUUGAGAGGAUGAUC